rnacentral:ncRNA from 1 species
AAAAUGACGAUGAGAGGAAAUAGUACAGUCCCUUUUACCGUUUAUAGAGAGCUGUCGGGUGGUGAAAGACAGUAAUGGUAUGGGCUUGGAACUCUUCCUCGAGUAGCCGACCGAAAUUGUUUUUAAAGUAGGCUCGGACGGAGCUUCCGCCGUUAAAAGGAAGGAGAUAUCGGAACUUCGAUGUUUGAAGUUCGAUUUUCGAAGUUCGAACCAUAAAGUUAUUUUUAGGGUCGAACUGCGAACUACGAACCACGAACCACGAUUAACUCCCGUAUCUUUAGAGAAGACGGCUAUUUGCUGUCAACUUGAGUGGUACCGCGAACUAACCCUUCGUCUCAAUC